rnacentral:rRNA from 1 species
GUGGGGAAUCUUGCGCAAUGGGCGAAAGCCUGACGCAGCCAUGCCGCGUGAAUGAUGAAGGUCUUAGGAUUGUAAAAUUCUUUCACCGGGGACGAUAAUGACGGUACCCGGAGAAGAAGCCCCGGCUAACUUCGUGCCAGCAGCCGCGGUAAUACGAAGGGGGCUAGCGUUGCUCGGAAUUACUGGGCGUAAAGGGCGCGUAGGCGGACAGUUUAGUCAGAGGUGAAAGCCCAGGGCUCAACCUUGGAAUUGCCUUUGAUACUGGCUGUCUUGAGUUUGGGAGAGGUGAGUGGAACUCCGAGUGUAGAGGUGAAAUUCGUAGAUAUUCGGAAGAACACCAGUGGCGAAGGCGACUCACUGGCCCAAUACUGACGCUGAGGCGCGAAAGCGUGGGGAGCAAACAGGAUUAGAAACCCUAGUAGUCC